rnacentral:rRNA from 1 species
AAUGAACGCUGGCGGCAUGCCUAAUACAUGCAAGUCGAGCGAACAGACGAGGAGCUUGCUCCUCUGACGUUAUCGGCGGACGGGUGAGUAACACGUGGAUAACCUACCUAUAAGACUGGGAUAACUUCGGGAAACCGUGGCUAAUACCGGAUAAUAUAUUGAACCUCAUGGUUCAAUAGUUGAAGACGGUUUUGCUUUCACUUAUAGAUUGAUCCGCGCCGCAUUAGCUAGUUGUUAAGGUAACGGCUUACCAAGGCGACGAUUCGUAGCCGACCUGAGAGGGUGAUCGGCCAGACUGGAACUGAGACACGGUCCAGACACCGACGGGAGGAAGCAGUAGGGAAUCGUACGCGAUGGGCGAAAGCCGGACGGAGCAACGUCGGCGGAGGGAUGAAGGUGUAAGGAUGGGAGAACGAUGUUAGUAGGGAAGAAGAAAUGUGUAAUUAACUAGGAACGUCUUGACGGUACCUAAACAGAAAGCCACGGCUAACUACGUG